rnacentral:rRNA from 1 species
AGUCGAGCGGUAGAGAGAAGCUUGCUUCUCUUGAGAGCGGCGGACGGGUGAGUAAAGCCUAGGAAUCUGCCUGGUAGUGGGGGAUAACGUUCGGAAACGGACGCUAAUACCGCAUACGUCCUACGGGAGAAAGCAGGGGACCUUCGGGCCUUGCGCUAUCAGAUGAGCCUAGGUCGGAUUAGCUAGUUGGUGAGGUAAUGGCUCACCAAGGCGACGAUCCGUAACUGGUCUGAGAGGAUGAUCAGUCACACUGGAACUGAGACACGGUCCAGACUCCUACGGGAGGCAGCAGUGGGGAAUAUUGGACAAUGGGCGAAAGCCUGAUCCAGCCAUGCCGCGUGUGUGAAGAAGGUCUUCGGAUUGUAAAGCACUUUAAGUUGGGAGGAAGGGCAGUUACCUAAUACGUGAUUGUUUUGACGUUACCGACAGAAUAAGCACCGGCUAACUCUGUGCCAGCAGCCGCGGUAAU